GAGCUUGAGGUAUAGAGGGGAAGAUGGAAUUGUGUGUGUAGAGGUGAAAUUCGUAGAUAUACACAAGAACACCAGUGGCGAAGGCGAUCUUCUGGCUAUUACCUGACGCUAAGGCUCGAAAGCGUGGGGAGCAAACAGGAUUAGAUACCCUGGUAGUCCACGCUGUAAACGAUGAAUACUAGAUGUUGGCCGUUAAAGGUCAGUGUCGCAGCUAACGCAUUAAGUAUUCCGCCUGGGGA
rnacentral:rRNA from 1 species